rnacentral:rRNA from 1 species
AGGGUUUGAUUCUGGCUCAGGACGAACGCUGGCGGCGCGCCUAACACAUGCAAGUCGAACGAGAAAGAGGGAGCUUGCUCCCUUGAUCGAGUGGCGAACGGGUGAGUAACGCGUGAGGAACCUGCCUCAAAGAGGGGGACAACAGUUGGAAACGACUGCUAAUACCGCAUAAGCCCACGGCUCGGCAUCGAGCAGAGGGAAAAGGAGUGAUCCGCUUUGAGAUGGCCUCGCGUCCGAUUAGCUGGUUGGUGAGGUAACGGCCCACCAAGGCGACGAUCGGUAGCCGGACUGAGAGGUUGAACGGCCACAUUGGGACUGAGACACGGCCCAG